rnacentral:rRNA from 1 species
GACGAACGCUGGCGGCGUGCCUAAUACAUGCAAGUCGAACGCAGUGGGGACGGGUGAGUAACACGUGGGUAACCUCCCAUCAGAGGGGAUAACACUUGGAAACAGGUGCUAAAACGAUACUGAUGGAUGGACGCGCGGUGCAUUAGCUAGUUGGGGAGGUAACGGCGCACAAAGGCCACGAGGCAUAGCCGACCUGUGAGGGUGACCGGCCACACUGGGACGUAGACACGGCCCAUACUCCUACGGAAGGCAGCAGUAGGGAAUCUUCGGCAAUGGACGAAAGUCUGACCGAGAAACGCGGCGUGAGUGAAGAAGGUUUUCGGAUCGUAAAACUCUGUUGUUAGAGAAGCGGUAUCUAACCAGAAAGCCACGGCUAACUACGUGCCAGCCGCCGCGGUAAUUC